rnacentral:rRNA from 1 species
GACGUAGGAGGCGAGCGUUGUCCGGAUUCAUUGGGCGUAAAGAGCACGCAGGCGGUUUGGCAAGUCGGAUAUGAAAACCCGGAGCUCAACUCCGGACCUGCAUCCGAAACUGCCCGACUAGAGGUAGGUAGGGGAGAUCGGAAUUCCUGGUGUAGCGGUGAAAUGCGCAGAUAUCAGGAGGAACACCGGUGGCGAAGGCGGGUCUCUGGGCCGAUACUGACGCUGAGGAGCGAAAGCGUGGGGAGCGAACAGG